GGGGAACCCUGAUCCAGCCAUGCCGCGUGUGUGAAGAAGGCCUUAUGGUUGUAAAGCACUUUAAGCGAGGAGGAGGCUACUGAGACUAAUACUCUUGGAUAGUGGACGUUACUCGCAGAAUAAGCACCGGCUAACUCUGUGCCAGCAGCCGCGGUAAUACAGAGGGUGCGAGCGUUAAUCGGAUUUACUGGGCGUAAAGCGUGCGUAGGCGGCUUUUUAAGUCGGAUGUGAAAUCCCCGAGCUUAACUUGGGAAUUGCAUUCGAUACUGGGAAGCUAGAGUAUGGGAGAGGAUGGUAGAAUUCCAGGUGUAGCGGUGAAAUGCGUAGAGAUCUGGAGGAAUACCGAUGGCGAAGGCAGCCAUCUGGCCUAAUACUGACGCUGAGGUACGAAAGCAUGGGGAGCAAACAGGAUUAGAUACCCUGGUAGUCCAUGCCGUAAACGAUGUCUACUAGCCGUUGGGGCCUUUGAGGCUUUAGUGGCGCAGCUAACGCGAUAAGUAGACCGCCUGGGGAGUACGG
rnacentral:rRNA from 1 species